GAUGAACGCUGGCGGCGUGCCUAAUACAUGCAAGUCGAGCGAACAGACGAGGAGCUUUCUCCUCUGACGUUAGCGGCGGACGGGUGAGUAACACGUGGAUAACCUACCUAUAAGACUGGGAUAACUUCGGGAAACCGGAUCUAAUACCGGAUAAUAUAUUGAACCGCAUGGUUCAAUAGUGAAUGACGGUUUUGCUGUCACUUAUAGAUGGAUCCGCGCCGCAUUAGCUAGUUGGUAAGGUAACGGCUUACCAAGGCAACGAUGCGUAGCCGACCUGAGAGGGUGAUCGGCCACACUGGAACUGAGACACGGUCCAGACUCCUACGGGAGGCAGCAGUAGGGAAUCUUCCGCAAUGGGCGAAAGCCUGACGGAGCAACGCCGCGUGAGUGAUGAAGGUCUUCGGAUCGUAAAACUCUGUUAUUAGGGAAGAACAAAUGUGUAAGUAACUAUGCACGUCUUGACGGUACCUAAUCAGAAAGCCACGGCUAACUACGUG
rnacentral:rRNA from 1 species